GAUGAACGCUAGCGGCAGGCCUAACACAUGCAAGUCAGGGGGUAACAUAGAAAAGCUUGCUUUUCUGAUGACGACCGGCGCACGGGUGCGUAACGCGUAUACAACCUACCUUUUAGCGGGGAAUAGCCCAGGGAAACUUGGAUUAAUGCCUCAUAGUAUAUAAGCUUCUCCUGAAGUUUAUAUUAAACAUUUAUGGCUAUCAGAUGGGUAUGCGUCCUAUUAGUUAGUUGGUAAGGUAACGGCUUACCAAGGCAGCGAUAGGUAGGGGUCCGUGAGAGGGAGAUCCCCACCACUGGUACUGAGACACGGACCAGACUCCUACGGGAGGGCAGCAGUGAGGAAUAUUGGACAAUGGGCGAGAGCCUGAUCCAGCCAUGCCGCGUGCAGGAAGACUGCCCUAUGGGUUGUAAACUGCUUUUUACAGAGGAAGAACCACCCCCACGUGUGGGGGUUUGACGGUACUCUGCGAAUAAGGAUCGGCUAACUCCGUG
rnacentral:rRNA from 1 species